rnacentral:lncRNA from 1 species
UUUGUUUCUGAUAUACCUGUCCUUCUCAAUCCAUAACCUUGUAACUAUCCUACCCUGUUCAGAGUACGUGAGGAUUAAUUUCAUCUCUACGUUUCUAUCUAAGUUUGGGGUUGCUGUUGGAAUAGAAACCUUUAAGUUUGGGGUAGCUUUGCAGUAAGUGAAUGUAAAAAAAAAUAUUAAAAAAAAGAGGAGCAAGCAAAAGCUUGUGAUCCGAAGAAAGAAAGAGAAAAGCGAAAAACAAUAAAAGAACAGCUUUUGAAAAAUGCUACAUUCACUAUAGAUAAAAAGAGGAAUACAAAACCCAACAAGAAUAAUAGGAAAGAAACAUAGUGAGAGAACGAUUUCAUGUACUCUGGACCAAAAACCUUUAUUCCAUUUUCAUACCCUACCUAAACCAAAGCCCCGUUACAACCCAAAAGACCUCAAAAAGUGUGUGUGAUCGUACAUGUUGAUAGGAUGAGAGAUUUUAUUCAAACUUCUGAUUUGAUAUUGCAUAUUGUGAUUUGAGCGUGAUAACACUUUAACCCAGAGAGACUUGGUGAGAGUGUGAUAUGAGUUGACAGGUAAAGUGAUAUCUCUGAGGGAAAGAGUUUCUAGCUCGUUGGUUAUGUGGAAAAAUCAAAAAACCUGAAAGAACAUCAAGAGGUCCAGUGCGAAAGAUUUCAGCAGUAUUGUGGCAAGAACUGUUUUACAGUAAGUUUGGGGUGACAUGAUCUUUGAUGGUAAUAAAAUGUUACUUAAGGACAAGCAACAAGCUAAGUUUGGGGUUGUGAUCAGUCACCAGUUAUGCUAGGUAUUUCACUAUUUAACCGUAAAUAAGUCAGGUAAACUGCGUAAACUGAAGCAUUUUUAGUUAGAUAUAAGCUCAAUUCUAUAAUAUAAAGUGUGUUGUUACUUAUGAGUUUCUUGAGGAUAUUUUACACUUUUGGGUAUGUUAGCAGGUAAAAAACUAGUCUGGAAGCUCAGGGAAUCAAACGUCAGAUGCGAAAUUAAGCCCGAGCAAGAAAACGGAAGAAAAAAUCAAUUCUUGGAGAACUUGCUGUCCAUACGCGUAUGGCCUUACAUGAUACGCGUAUGGACCUUCCCAGUACGCGUAGCAUACGCAAAUGACCAGAGGGGUUGAAAAUCAAGCAAAAAGACAAGCUUCUGGUGAUACGCGUACCAAACUGGUGAUACGCGUACCAGACUGGGCAAUACGCGUACCAGACUGGGCAAUACGCGUAUCAGAGGCUGGCUUACGUGCAGUACGCGUACCAGACUGGGCAAUACGCGUAUCAGACUGGGCAAUACGCGUAUGGCCCCCAAAAUCAGGAAAAGCCCAACUGCAUAGCUAUUUAGAGGGGAGAACACGAUUUUCCGAGGGUUGGACGAUUUGGAGAGAAAAAAGACGCGUUUUGAGAGCUGGAGACUCUACGAUUAUCAGAGGAUUCAUAUGUUCAAGAGUUUUCCGACGAUUGAAGAUUGAUUCCUCACGAAAUUCUGUAAUGACAACAAUGUUAAUCUUUGUUUUUAUUUCUAUUAUGAGUAGCUAAACCCCCCAUUGCUAGGGGGGUGACCCUGAUUCUGAAUGUGACAGAUUUUAUGUUUAUGAGUGCAUUGACUAUUUCUUCUUUUCCAUUGAUUUGUUCUUAUUACCGUUCUUUAUGCUUUAUUCGUCGGACCAACGAAUGAUGAUUAAUAUGAAUAGUUUAAGCUGGACAGCGAUUAUUCAUUGAUCUGGAUAAGAACUUUGGAUAGUAAAAAUAACCUAGGACUAGGGAUUUUCUAUCUGACCGGUAAUUCUUGAUAUUUGAAUGCUUGAGUAUGAACUUAAUUAUUUAUGGACAUAGUAAUUAGGUUACAUAAUCAAAGGUCUUUUCACUAAGGAAUUAGGAAUAGAUACCCUUGAGGACCGGAAUUAAUUGGACAGGAAUAUUGUCUAAACUUUCAUAAAUUAUAUCUGUUACAGGAAGUUUCAUUCACCGAACCCUAGCAAUCUUCUCUCAUUUGUCUCUUGUUCAACCUUUUACUUGUUUUAUUUAUUUGCAAUUGAUAGUAUAAUUACUCACAACACAAAAACCAAAGGCUUUUUGUCUAAUUGAAACAAUCUAUAAACUCUGUAUCGUCAAGCAGUCCUUGAGAUCGACAAACGGGGAAUUUCCCUUUUAUUACUACAGUGAGAAAAAUAGUACACUUGCUAUUUUCCCAUCAAGUUUUUGGCGCCGUUGCCGGGGACUGCCAAAGAUAAUAGAGUUUAUUAAUUUAUUUUCAAUUAGAAUUUUGUUGCUCUGCAUCCAAAAUUUUAUUUACUGCUAAUUUUAAUUUUUAUUAUUAUUAUAACUAACUUCUGUCUAAUCUGUGUAUGCGAGGUAAGGCCUCAGCUGAUUUUCAUUUUGACGCAGAACCAGAGAGAACAUUGCGCGCAAAGCUCAGAGAAGCUAGAAGAAAGAAACUGGAAAACUCUGACACCGAAGAACCGGCCACACUUAGCACACCAGUCUCUGUUCACUCCGAAAAAUCUGAGUCAGACACAGAUUCACAUCCAGACACUGUUAACAUGGCUGCAGACCCACCCCCAGCGGAAAGACUUUUAGGUGACUAUGGCAGACAGAAUAACCCAGCAGUGCGGUUGACCAUUGUUAACCAACCUGUUAAUGUUGCUCACUUCCAGUUACACCCCUCAACUAUCCGUCAGUUAGAAAGCAAACCUUUUGCAGGAAAGAUCAAUGAGGAUGCAAACAAGCAUCUGCAGAGGUUUCUGACUAUGACUACAUCAUUAAAAAUUGAUGGGCAUUCUGAAGAGGCAAAGAGAUUGGUCAUGUUCCCAUUCACGUUAUCUGAGGACGCUGAGGAAUGGUUCUAUUCCCUACCCGCAGGAAGCAUUACUACUUGGCAACAAAUGGAAACAACAUUCUUGAACGAGUAUUUUCCUGCUUCUGUGUAUAUCCGUAAGAGGUAUGACAUUGUGAAUUUUAAACAGAAAGACGGAGAGACACUUGGAGAUGCAUACAAAAGAUUCAAGAGAUGUUUAGUUGCAUGUCCUACACAUAAUCUGGAUGAAACUGAACAAAUGCAGAAUUUUGUAAACGGGCUGAAGAUGAGAACUAAGCAACUCAUUGAUACAGCUGCUGGUGGCUCAUCUAAUUUUUCAACAGCAACCGGUAUCAAAAAGAUCAUCGAAGCUAUUGCAGCGAAUGAGCAUUUGGAAUUAUAUGACCGUACUGUGAAUCAGCCGGAGGGAAAAAUUGACUUGAAAUUAGCAAAUCAGGUAGUGAAAAUGGAAGACCAGAUUGCUGCUGAGGUUGAAAGAAGAUUGAAAGCUAUGAAUUUAGGUACCCAGACUGUUGCUCAAGUUCAACCGGUUCCGACCAUGAUUUGUGAGAUUUGUAGUGGACCACACUUUACCAUGCAUUGUGUUGCAACCGCAGAACAAGUGCAAGCUAUAAAUUACCUGAGGCAAAAUAAUCCCUACUCAAAUACAUAUAAUCCGGGGUGGAAAAAUCAUCCUAAUUUCUCUUGGAAAGAUCAGCAAGGUAAUAUUCAGAACCAAGGACCUCCACAACAACAACCACCUUACCAACCACAAUAUCAAUCGCAACAGCAACCUUAUCAGCAACAAAUACCGAAGAAAGCGGAUUGGGAGAUUGCUAUAGAGAAGAUGGCAACUCAGAAUAUGCAAUUUCAGGAAGAGACCAGGAAUAAUCAGAAGAGCACCAAUGCAUCCAUUAAAAAUCUGGAGAUUCAAUUGGGUCAGAUAGCACAACAGAUAACAAAUUUUCAAACACCGGGCGCAUUACCUAGUGCAACAGUGACAAAUCCGAGGGAGCACCAUAAUGUGAGUGCGGUAACAACAAGAAGCGGAAGAUAUGUUGAAGAUCGUAAGAAGAAGGAUGAAGAAGAAGAUCAGUUGCUUGAAGUGGACCUGGAAAUCUUAGAAAACAAGACACCACCUGAGGAAGAAAGUGUGACACUGCCGGUGGUACAAGAAAAGCUACCUGAACCAAAACCCAUCAUUAAGCUUCCAUUCCCACAAAGAAACAAAAAGAAGAAGCAAGAUGAGAAAAAUUUUCAGAAAUUCAUGGAGUUGUUCAAGAAAUUAGAAAUCAAUAUUCCAUUCUCUGAGGCACUCGAGCAGAUGCCUAUCUAUGCGAAAUUCAUGAAAGACAUCAUCUCCAAGAAGCGCACCACUGACACUGACCCUGUUAUACUAACUGAAACUUGUAGUGCUAUUUUGCAGGGUAUGAAGAUUCCAGUGAAGAAGCCAGAUAGAGGUUCUGUGACCAUCCCGUGUACCAUUGGAGAUAGGUCUUUUAAAAGGGCGCUGAUUGAUUUGGGGGCUAGUGUUAGCCUUAUGCCUUUGUCUAUUUACAGGAAGCUAGGAAUUGGAAAUGUUCAAGAUACCAGAAUGACACUUCAAUUUGCUGACCACUCAGUGAAGAGACCUUUUGGGGUAGUUGAGGAUGUUCUGGUCAAAGUUGAUAAAUUUGUUUUUCCUGUUGAUUUUGUAAUUUUGGAAAUGCCAGAAGAUGAAGAGAUACCUCUGAUUCUGGGCAGACCUUUCUUAGAAACAGGUAGAUGCAAUAUAGAUAUGGAGGAAGGUACCAUGACCCUAAAGGUGUAUGAUGAAGAGCUCAGAAUUGAUGUCCGAGAUACUAUGAAACAUAAAGAGAAUAUGUGUACAAACCACUCCGUGGAAGUGAUUGAUCAAAUUGUAACUAGCACAAUUCAAAGAAAGUUUCCUGAAUUACCGUUAGAAAGAGUUCUUAGUCUGUCGGUCAGAGAGAUGGAGGAGAAGGAUGAGGAAAAAGAAAAAGAAGUGCUUGCUAUGCUGGAUACACAAACCCCUUGGAGGAAAUACAACCCACGCAGGUGGGAGGAUCUGAGAGCUUCACCAGAAUUAGAAGAUGAAAAGGUACUGAAGAAACAUAAAAGUGGUAUUGGAGUUUUAAAUGAGAAGAAUGGCGAUACCUUCAAGGUUAAUGGUCAGAGGUUGAAACCAUAUGAUCCCGGUGAAGGGGGACCAAUUGAAACUGUUAAACUCAUCUGAGUAUGAGGUGUCCCGUCGAGCCAUGCGACGUUAAACGAAGCGCUGCUUGGGAGGCAACCCAAGGGAGGUUUGAAUUAUUUUUUUGUUAUUUUAAUUUUGUCGAGUCAGUUGAAAUUUGAAUUUUAGUUUUAUUUAGCAUUUGUUCAUGUCAUUUGAGUCAGUUUUUAUUUUCUUUUGCUUUGAUGUAAUCACCUAUUAUGGGUUGUCUUAAUCUAAUGAAUUUGAUUUUGUUUACCUACAUUUUCCUGUUUAUUUCGUUAGAUAUGUGACUAUGUCUGGCUAUUGGUUAUCUUGAUCACUUACACCAAACACUUGGGUGUCCUCUCAUUCAGUCCCCUUGACUGUAGAUACUGUUGUUUAUGAUUGGACGCACUGGUUAAGAUUAACAUCAGAACCAAGAGCACAUGAGCUUUGAACUCAGAGGUAUGAUAGAACAAGUCAGCUUAACCCGUCAUGGUGAGAUCAGAAAAAGCCAAACACUUAUCAUCAUAUGAGAGAUAUCAGGUAUGUCUUUAUCAAUCAUGGUUUGCGUAUGUUCUUUUUAUUAUUAGCUGUAUGAAUACACACACUGAGGCAUAUUUUUGUUUAUCACCUAGAGCCUUUCGAGCCAUCCCAUCUAUUAUUAUUAUCCUUUGUUUAACCCUGUUGAGCCUGUUAUUCAUUUGUUUCUGAUAUACCCGUCCUUCUCAAUCCAUAACCUUGUAACUAUCCUACCCUGUUCAGAGUACGUGAGGAUUAAUUUCAUCUCUACGUUUCUAUCUAAGUUUGGGGUUGCUGUUGGAAUAGAAACCUUUAAGUUUGGGGUAGCUUUGCAGUAAGUGAAUGUAAAAAAAAAUAUAAAAAAAAAAGAGGAGCAAGCAAAAGCUUGUGAUCCGAAGAAAGAAAGAGAAAAGCGAAAAACAAUAAAAGAACAGCUUUUGAAAAAUGCUACAUUCACUAUAGAUAAAAAGAGGAAUACAAAAUCCAACAAGAAUAAUAGGAAAGAAACAUAGUGAGAGAACGAUUUCAUGUACUCUGGACCAAAAACCUUUAUU